UGUAUGUACAUGAGCGGAGGAUCACAUCUGUAGCACUGGUUAACGGUUACGGCUCAGGGCGCGGCCAAGUCUGUCUCAAGUCUGCCUGCCACGGAGCUGUGUGCACAUGAGCGCAGGAUCACAUCUGUAGCACUGGUAAGCUAACCGUUUAUUUUCUUCAAACUUCAAUUAUAACACGGUGUGUUGUCAGGACAAUACUAACUUCUGUUUGUGAUUGAGUGCAUUUUGCAGCAAAACGUUUAUGUUCUGCAUUGCAUAAGUGUUUUUUCAAAUGUGUUGGCGCGAACUGCAAGCAAACAACGGUGUGUUGUCAGGACAAUACUAGCUUCUGUUUGUGAUUGAGUGCAUUUUGCAGUCAUAGUUAUAACGUCUACUGACCGGGAGUUAAUUUAAAUAGUCUGGUAACGUUAUUGAAGUAUCAUGCUAAAAGCUGAACUCUUUAUUUUCGUUUAAUUCAUGCUGUUGUGAAGUGGGGGGUUUGAAGCUACAUCUGAGGGGGUUCAAAGUUAACUGGCAGUCUACUUUUUUCUGUUCUUUCUGCCACUUCUUUCUCUCUUUUCUGUCUAAUUUGAGACGUUUAUGUUGCACAAUCUUUUUUGUUACUGUAAGCUCGUAAAGGGCUAGUUUGGAUGCUUAUGGAUACUUAUCCAUAGUCAGUGUAUUACUUGCAUGUCUUUGGAGGAACAGGCAGGAGUACGGGUACGUAUGUAAAGCUGUGGAUGGGUGCAGCAGCGAAACGUAUUUUAGCCACCUAAAAAUUCAGUUUACGUGUACGCUAUAUUUAUAAUAUUGUCACAAAUGUACCCUGCUGCUUCAGUCCCUAUCAGAAACAGACUGUAUAGCUGUCUGACAGAAAGGUAGAGCUUUGAAAAUAUUCUUUAAUAUAGCAUACACUAAGAGUAAUAUUGUUUUAGUUUUUUUGGUGGCUUAACUAUGUCCACAGCAGUGCAUUGCUUAGCUGUCUGCUGGUUCUCCUCUCUGUUUCUCCAAACUGUAGCUCCUACAACCCCCCUUCAAACAAUAUGAACUAUCCCCUAAAAGCAAGUCAAAUUGACAUUACAUUUAUCUCCCCUUAACCUGCAAAUACACAUACAUACAUUUUUGUAUUGAUGGUGAGCAAUUUAACAGACCUUAAAAUGUGUGCUAAAAUUGUUUUGUGAAAUAUUUCAGGAAGACAAGUCUUGUUUUAAUUUAGUUUGAAUUGUGUUUUUCUUCUUUUUUAGGACGAUCAUGCUAUUCUUCAAGGCGAUUCAUGCUGAGUGUGGAUCGAAACAUAGUACAGGACAACAUCCCCUCCUUGGUUUCUGCCCUGUCCAUGAUGUUUGGGAGCUAUUAUUGCUUCAACAUCGCCUACAUCCACCCUGGAGUUUGUCCAGAGGUGUUUUUUCUCCAUCAACCCAGAGAAGGGCACCAAAGUGGAGAAGACACGUGCAUCCCGUCUUCAGGUGAACCCGAGAGUCCUCACCUUGAUACAGGAACUUUCGGACCAUGAGUGGCGUGAUGUCUGAAUAUGGACAGUAAGAUCAAUGGCAUGUAGCGAUGUGCCCAAGUUACAGUUUCUUUGAUUGUUUAAAUCGUAGUUAAAAUUUGAAGUGCCUUUUUUUUCCAUGUUCUUUUAACUAAUUUAAAAAAAUGCAAUAUGUAACUCUCAAAAUGUCAAACUAUUCUUUUAAGGUCAUUGUAAAAGCUCAGGACAUCACUGUUGAGUGUAAAAAUGUUGAUGUGUUACACUCCACUGGGUGGUUUUGUUUUGUUUUCCACUUGGGUUUUUGCUUCUGAAGUGAAGGGUCUCUGCUGACCCUACCUCUUCACCUAUCUCACUUA